rnacentral:rRNA from 1 species
GCUGAAGGCCACACCACCUUGAAUAUGCCCGAGCUCAUGCAGUCUCGGAAGCCAAGGAAGGCUGGACCUUGCAGGCACAUGGACGGGAGGCCACCUAGGAAUACCAGGUCUUGUUUUGCG